AGUGGCAAACUGAUCGUUUGGCCCACCCGUCAGCUCCACUUGCUGACCUCCAGUCCUCCACCAUGAAUCGGGUUUUCCCAAUCUCGUGUCCUCGGAGCGCCCUUCCCUCCCAGCGCCGCCGCCUCUUGCCCUCACCGUCUGGCUCGGACGGGGAAGCACGGCUGCGUGGAGGAGGUCUCGAUCUAACGCCCUGUGAUCUCGCCGUCCCAGUCUGACAAGCAGCGGUGGCCAUCUCCAUUCUAUGCGGCGGCCCGUCUGCCUCCCAGAUCCGGCCGGCGCUGCUUGUCCACGGCGGCCAGACCAAGAAGACCGACCAUGGGGCGUUUGAAGAGGACGGGAUGCAAAAGGGUGGAAGGAGGAUCAGUCAGUUCAACAGUUUCAAGGACUUCAGCAACAAAUUUCUACGAGAGGAACAAGAAGAAUAUUGUUAGUUUCUUAGGGUUUGAUGAUUCCACUGACAUCUUCAAGAACGUUGGUUUUUGCUCUUUCCGUUUCGAAGCCUAGCAACUUCACGAGGCCCUGUAACUCAAAUGAAAACGGUUGCUUCAGAUGCUGCUAUUUGGUGCAUAAUAAAAAUCAAUCAUUUCAGAGGUUUCUUACCGAGAAGGCACCUUUGGUACUAUUCCAUAGAGAUGGCAGGUGAUUUCCUUUAGUAACUCUGCACUCUGCCUCCACAAACAGAUUAUUAUACCUCACCUCUAUUGCUGGCAACUUGACAUCAACCCUGUGGAAAUGGAUCACAGGGGAAAAAUAAACAGUUGCAUAAACAGAGUCUAAUCUUCAUCCAGUUACUUAGAACAGUGUUCUGAAAAAGAAAACAUGCCUGUCAAUUCUUUCCUUUUGUCCGCGCAGAAAGCGGAGGUGGUCGUCUUCGAGGUUCUUUAGCAGGUUGUCGAAGAACUCGCGCCUCUUGAGAGCUCCCAACUUGCUGCUGUCAAGCAGCAUGUUCUCACUCACAUGCUCGGUGUUUGCAGCACCAUUCUGGCGCUGUCGCGAUGCCAAUUCUAACUCGGACUCAUCCGGGCGCUCGUCACUCGCACAGGCGGUGAAAUCUUGAUGGUGGGAUGAUGGGUUGGUCUCUCUUGCGAGGCCCUCCAUCUCAAGAUGGGUGAGUUAAAUCGACGCCCUUUGCUAUUGCCUAGCCGUACUCUAAGCAGUCAUUUCCUUCUCUUUAGAGUACAUAUAUAAGGUUUUGGCGAGCAUGUACGCACGCUUUUUCCCAUACGGACAUCAUCAGUCAGAAGAGUUGGAAAGACCAGUCAUGUGUUGACUUCAAACUAACUAUUAGCAUGGAAACGCACAUUCUGGAAGAUGACAGCCAUAAGUCAUGUAUUAUACGGUACUGGUGAAGACUUCACAGUACUCCUGAUUCGGAGACCUGAUUUGCCUUAUUUUGGGUUUUCUUUGUGACGGGAAAGAACCCCACCGCACUUUUUUUUAGCUUGUAAAUUGGAUAUAUGCCACCGCAAAACGGGACUUCGGAAAAAGAUUGAAGUGCAA